rnacentral:rRNA from 1 species
CAGGCUUAACACAUGCAAGUCGAGGGGCAGCAUGGUCUUAGCUUGCUAAGGCCGAUGGCGACCGGCGCACGGGUGAGUAACACGUAUCCAACCUGCCGUCUACUCUUGGACAGCCUUCUGAAAGGAAGAUUAAUACAAGAUGGCAUCAUGAGUCCGCAUGUUCACAUGAUUAAAGGUAUUCCGGUAGACGAUGGGGAUGCGCUCCAUUAGAUAGUAGGCGGGGUAACGGCCCACCUAGUCUUCGAUGGAUAGGGGUUCUGAGAGGAAGGUCCCCCACAUUGGAACUGAGACACGGUCCAAACUCCUACGGGAGGCAGCAGUGAGGAAUAUUGGUCAAUGGGCGCAGGCCUGAACCAGCCAAGUAGCGUGAAGGAUGACUGCCCUAUGGGUUGUAAACUUCUUUUAUAAAGGAAUAAAGUCGGGUAUGGAUACCCGUUUGCAUGUACUUUAUGAAUAAGGAUCGGCUAACUCCGUGCCAGCAGCCGCGGUAAUACGGAGGAUCCGAGCGUUAUCCGGAUUUAUUGGGUUUAAAGGGAGCGUAGAUGGAUGUUUAAGUCAGUUGUGAAAGUUUGCAGCUCAACCGUAAAAUUGCAGUUGAUACUGGAUAUCUUGAGUGCAGUUGAGGCAGGCGGAAUUCGUGGUGUAGCGGUGAAAUGCUUAGAUAUCACGAAGAACUCCGAUUGCGAAGGCAGCCUGCUAAGCUGCAACUGACAUUGAGGCUCGAAAGUGUGGGUAUCAAACAGGAUUAGAUACCCUGGUAGUCCACACGGUAAACGAUGAAUACUCGCUGUUUGCGAUAUACAGCAAGCGGCCAAGCGAAAGCGUUAAGUAUUCCACCUGGGGAGUACGCCGGCAACGGUGAAACUCAAAGGAAUUGACGGGGGCCCGCACAAGCGGAGGAACAUGUGGUUUAAUUCGAUGAUACGCGAGGAACCUUACCCGGGCUUAAAUUGCAGAUGAAUUACGGUGAAAGCCGUAAGCCGCAAGGCAUCUGUGAAGGUGCUGCAUGGUUGUCGUCAGCUCGUGCCGUGAGGUGUCGGCUUAAGUGCCAUAACGAGCGCAACCCUUGUUGUCAGUUACUAACAGGUUCCGCUGAGGACUCUGACAAGACUGCCAUCGUAAGAUGUGAGGAAGGUGGGGAUGACGUCAAAUCAGCACGGCCCUUACGUCCGGGGCUACACACGUGUUACAAUGGGGGGUACAGAGGGCCGCUACCACGCGAGUGGAUGCCAAUCCCCAAAACCUCUCUCAGUUCGGACUGGAGUCUGCAACCCGACUCCACGAAGCUGGAUUCGCUAGUAAUCGCGCAUCAGCCACGGCGCGGUGAAUACGUUCCCGGGCCUUGUACACACCGCCCGUCAAGCCAUGGGAGCCGGGGGUACCUGAAGUGCGUAACCGCGAGGAGCGCCCUAGGGUAAAACUGGUGACUGGGGC